rnacentral:lncRNA from 1 species
GAGUGCUGAUGUUGCAGGCAGAAGUCAUCUACUGUAGAAGCUCGAACGAGGACUUUCUGUUGGGGAAGUCUGGUUUCAUGAAAAAUCCAACAGAGGGUCGACCGACAGUGGACUUUGGAUGGCGUUGUGGAGGUUCAUCCACUGGAGGAGUCUUGAGGACACUGUGAAAGGUCGAACAUUGGAGGAGUCUGGGAUACGAUUCUGCUGUAGAAGUUCGGACGAAGUCCAGCUCUCGUAGGAGUCCGAAAAGAGGUCGC